GUCUUAUUGAUAGUAAAUAAUAAGUUAAUUCUGCCCCUUGAAAAUAAAUUUGAAAGGCUGCAGUAUUAUGACUGUACAAAGGUAGCAAAAUCAAUAGUUUUUUAAUUGAAAACUUGUAUGAAAGAGUUAAUAAAAUAUAAACUGUCUUAAAUUAAUUGAAAUUUGAAUUUUAAUUUAGGGUUAAAAUGCUUUAAUGAAUUUAUUAGACGAUAAGACCCUAAGAAUUUAAAAUUAUUUGUUAAUGAAUAUAAAGGUGAAAUUUUUAUAUUUAUAAAUAAAUAAUAUUUUAUUGGGAGGGUAAUUAAAUUUUAAAACUUUAAUUUAUUGAAAACAUUGAUAAAUGAAUAUAAUGAUAAUUUUAAUGAUUAAUAGAAAUAAUUACCUUAGGGAUAACAGCGUAAUAGUUUUGGAAAGUUCAUAUUAAUAAAAUUGUUUGCGACCUCGAUGUUGAAUUAAAAUAAAAAUUAAGUGGAGAAGCUUAAAGUUUUAGUCUGUUCGACUAUUAAAAUUUUACA
rnacentral:rRNA from 1 species